rnacentral:rRNA from 1 species
AACGAACGCUGGCGGCAUGCUUAACACAUGCAAGUCGAACGGAUAGCUUGCUAUCAGUGGCGCACGGGUGAGUAACACGUGGGAACCUACCUUUUAGUUUGGGAUAACUUUGGGAAACUAAGGCUAAUACCGGAUACGCUUUGCAGCUUGGCGCUGUAAAGGAAAGAUUUAUCGCUAAAAAGAUGGGCCCGCGGUGGAUUAGCUUGUUGGUGGGGUAAAGGCUUACCAAGGCAACGAUCCAUAGCUGGUCUGAGAGGAUGAUCAGCCACACUGGGACUGAGAUACGGCCCAGACUCCUACGGGAGCAGCAGUGGGAAUAUUGGACAAUGGGCGAAAGCCUGAUCCAGCAAUGCCGCGUGAGUGAAGAAGGUCUUCGGAUUGUAAAGCUCUUUCACGGGUGAAGAUAAUGACGGUAACCCGAGAAGAAGCCCCGGCUAACUUCGUGCCAGCAGCCGCGUAAAGUCUAGCAUG